GACGAACGCUGGCGGCGUGCUUAACACAUGCAAGCCGAACGGAAAGGCCCUGCUUUUGUGGGGUGCUCGAGUGGCGAACGGGUGAGUAACACGUGAGUAACCUGCCCUUGACUUUGGGAUAACUUCAGGAAACUGGGGCUAAUACCGGAUAGGAGCUCCUGCUGCAUGGUGGGGGUUGGAAAGUUUCGGCGGUUGGGGAUGGACUCGCGGCUUAUCAGCUUGUUGGUGGGGUAGUGGCUUACCAAGGCUUUGACGGGUAGCCGGCCUGGGAGGGUGACCGGCCACAUUGGGACUGAGAUACGGCCCAGACUCCUACGGGAGGCAGCAGUGGGGAAUAUUGCACAAUGGGCGGAAGCCUGAUGCAGCAACGCCGCGUGCGGGAUGACGGCCUUCGGGUUGUAAACCGCUUUCGCCUGUGACGAAGCGUGAGUGACGGUAAUGGGUAAAGAAGCACCGGCUAACUACGUG
rnacentral:rRNA from 1 species